rnacentral:rRNA from 1 species
AGAAUCUGCCUCUAGGACGGGGACAACAGAGGGAAACUUCUGCUAAUCCCGGAUGAGCCGUAAGGUAAAAGAUUUAUCGCCUAGAGAUGAGCUCGCGUCUGAUUAGCUAGUUGGUGAGGUAAAAGCUCACCAAGGCGACGAUCAGUAGCUGGUCUGAGAGGAUGAUCAGCCACACUGGGACUGAGACACGGCCCAGACUCCUACGGGAGGCAGCAGUGGGGAAUUUUCCGCAAUGGGCGAAAGCCUGACGGAGCAAGACCGCGUGGGGGAGGAAGGCUCUUGGGUUGUAAACCCCUUUUCUCAGGGAAGAAGCAAAUGACGGUACCUGAGGAAUAAGCCUCGGCUAACUCCGUGCCAGCAGCCGCGGUAAUACGGAGGAGGCAAGCGUUAUCCGGAAUGAUUGGGCGUAAAGCGUUCGUAGGUGGCCUUUCAAGUCUGCUGUCAAAGAGUGGAGCUUAACUCCAUAAAGGCAGUGGAAACUGAAAAGCUGGAGUGCGGUAGGGGCAGAGGGAAUUCCCGGUGUAGCGGUGAAAUGCGUAGAGAUCGGGAAGAACACCGGUGGCGAAAGCGCUCUGCUGGGCCGCAACUGACACUGAGGG